rnacentral:lncRNA from 1 species
CAUGUAGCUAGAUGUCAGAAAUGUCACAUCAGAUCUGGUUCCCUAACAAGCAGGUUGAAUUCAGGUUACCCCUGCAGUCAGAACGAUGUCAUCCAAGGAUAUUGCAGUUUCCCUUAUGACAGAAAAGGUUGAGUUUCCUUUUCAACACAGUGGUGCUGUCUUCCCUAGAAGCCUUUGAUUCCUCUUUAAGUCCAUCUUCUCCAAGGAAACUGAACACUCUGGACACAGGGGCCUCAAUAAGGCCUAGCACAGCUUCUGUGAGUAGCCACUCAACUGAUUGUCUAAGACACAGUUGCUGAGAUGGUGGCUGAGAGAAAGGAGGAAGAAGAAAGGAUACAGAGAGAAGCGUUUUCUGUAUCAACGUGCUUAAUGAGAAGAUGGGAGGAGUGUUUGGAUUGAAAACAUAUCAGUAGCAGCUUCUUCAACUAGAGCAUCGUUCAACUAGAGCCAACUAUGCAUGAGUACCAGCUCUGGAAGAAUGUGGCCUGGGACCCUUGAAGUAAAUCUGAUAGUCAUUUAAAUAAAAACAAAAAAUGCUGAUUAUCAUCUACUCUAUGAGACCUACAUACCCUGCCAUCUUCCAUACUUUAGAAUGCAUCUGGAGAAAUCACGUGCAGACCUACUGAGUUGCUUUGAGAUUACCAAUAAUUUCCUUGUAUCCAUGGUUAGACGUCAGCUUCCAUUUAAAAAGUUGUGUUAUGUAUGUUUUUCAAGUUUUUCACUACUUCAUACAGGGUAUUAUUAAAAAUCAGAAGUAAAUAUAAUGUGAAGUAGCUUAGAUCCCAAGGGAAAGUUCCAAUUAGAACCAUUUCUUUCAUUGUUUAGUUUCUAAAAUAAAAUUUUAGAAGACCUUUCUCACCAAUGUAAAAACUUCUAAAAUUUAAAUGUAAGACUAUUGUGACACAAACUUCUGAAACAUUAAUUAUCUCACAGUACAGCAUUCCUAGAUUUUCCAAAGAGAACAAUGUGAACUGAGGCUUCUAUUAAGCCAUGGUCUCAGACCGCUUUUGCCCAAAUUGCAAGCAUUUUGAUGGUGUUGUAUUGGAAGUUAAAUCACAUUUACCUCCCUUCCAGCCCCAAUAUGAGAGCAUAUAAUGGGACAAAUAUUCAAGUUUAGCACACCUAUAAUAAAAAUAUAUUUCUCUCCUUAAACUUUCCUAGUGUCAUGGACUUAAGAGAUAAGCAUGAGGGAGAUGGAUAAAAUAUUACAUAUUUUAAUUUUUUAAGUGAUUUUGCAGAAUGCGCAUUUUGCAACUGCUUAUUCCCCACAUCCCAACCUUCUAGAAUAGCACCAUCCAGUAGAAA